rnacentral:rRNA from 1 species
UACGUAGGGUGCAAGCGUUAAUCGGAAUUACUGGGCGUAAAGCGUGCGCAGGCGGCUUUGCAAGACAGAUGUGAAAUCCCCGGGCUUAACCUGGGAACUGCAUUUGUGACUGCAUGGCUGGAGUGUGGCAGAGGGGGAUGGAAUUCCGCGUGUAGCAGUGAAAUGCGUAGAUAUGCGGAGGAACACCGAUGGCGAAGGCAGCCCCCUGGGCUAACACUGACGCUCAGGCACGAAAGCGUGGGGAGCAAACAGG